UCUUGUGGCCAUGCUGCUCCUCUGUGUCCUGUUCCACCAACUGGCCUCCUGGAUGGAUGCUGGACCUGCCUCGUCCCUACAAACCUCCCUCAUGCUGUGGGUUCUCAGCAGCUGGCCCUGCUGCCCUGCUCAGAUGUGCUUGAAGGGGUUUAGAGGAGAAAACUAUUGUCUGCAAACUCAGUGCUUAUGCAUGCUGCAAGACCCUGCUUGCACAUCAUUGCCUUGCUCUCCCCUUGUGCUCCCUUUGCUCGUCUGUGACUUGGGGGCUCUUCCUGGAGCUGCUGACAGAGCUGAUCCCUGCGGAAAACUGCUGCUCCAGCACCACAGAGCCUCUGCAUCCACCAAGGAGGACCAUACGUACCCUGGCAAAGUGGGCUGUAAGCAUCUCCCUACAGCUCUCAGCCAGAGCAGGAGUGAGCUCCUCUAGGUCACCCAGCUUGCCUCCUCCCCUGGGAGCAGAACUUUGAAAAGGAGGAGGAGAGGGGUGAUUCUGGUUGCCCUGGGGGAAGCAGCAAGCACACACCUGACAGCCCCGGAGCACAUUCCCUGUGCAGGAUCCAGGUGUGUGAGCUUUCCCCUGCCUGGCCCUGCUGCGGCUGCCUGGGGGGCUGGCGGACCCCCCCUCCCCAGCCCCUGCAGUCCUUGCUCUCCACUGAUGGGGAGCGGGGAUGCCAGUUAGCAGGAGCCCCAGUUUCAUUUGGCAAUGAGGACUCCUGCCUGUCAGGGACCGGUGAGAGUUGAGCAUGGUUUCACCCAGCAGCCUUUAGUAAUGCCUCAGCUCUGUUAAGCUGCCCACAAUUUCAGCCAGCCACCUCUUUCAGAAAAGCCCUGCAUCUUCAUUACCUUCCCCUCGAGCCAUCUGGUCCCCCAACCUGACCUUUUUAAAAAAGAUUGGUUAAAAAAACUGGAGCAGUCCCUGAACAGAAGACCUUGUGUGUCAUGUUUAAGCCCAGAGCAAAUUUUUAUGUCCAAGCUGUAAAACCUUGAAAAUAAAGAUUUAUAAUUGAGAUUCUGGCCGAAGCAGAGUGAACAGAGAUGGUCUAAUUAAAUUCUGUGGUGGAUAUAAUUAACCCAUUUAUUCAUUUAUUACCCUUUAUACAGCUAGUGCAGGCUACGCCAUCACAUUUGU